rnacentral:rRNA from 1 species
UACGAAGGGGGCUAGCGUUGUUCGGAAUUACUGGGCGUAAAGCGCACGUAGGCGGCAUGUUAAGUCAGGGGUGAAAUCCCGGGGCUCAACCCCGGAACUGCCUUUGAUACUGGCAUUCUCGAGUCCGGAAGAGGUGAGUGGAAUUCCGAGUGUAGAGGUGAAAUGCGCAGAUAUCAGGAGGAACACCGGUGGCGAAGGCGGGUCUCUGGGCCGAUACUGACGCUGAGGAGCGAAAGCGUGGGGAGCGAGCCGG